GUGCCAGCAGCCGCGGUAAUACGGAGGAUCCGAGCGUUAUCCGGAAUCAUUGGGUUUAAAGGGUCCGUAGGCGGGCCAUUAAGUCAGGGGUGAAAGUCUGCGGCUCAACCGUAGAAUUGCCCUUGAUACUGGUGGCCUUGAGUUAUGGUGAAGUAACUAGAAUAUGUAGUGUAGCGGUGAAAUGCAUAGAUAUUACAUAGAAUACCGAUUGCGAAGGCAGGUUACUAACCAUAUACUGACGCUGAUGGACGAAAGCGUGGGUAGCGAACAGGAUUAGAUACCCUGGUAGUCCACGCCGUAAACGAUGGAUACUAGCUGUCCGGGCGCAAGCCUGGGCGGCCAAGCGAAAGUGAUAAGUAUCCCACCUGGGGAGUACGUCCGCAAGGAUGAAACUCAAAGGAAUUGACGG
rnacentral:rRNA from 1 species